rnacentral:pre_miRNA from 1 species
GAACUUUAUCCUAAGCCAAACUUCUCUAAAAUUUGGCCAAGUUUUUAGGAAAAAUACACUAACAUAUACGAUAUUAAAUAGAUGCACUAUCAAGACACGUAUUGGUGGAUUUAACGAAAUAAAUUUAAUAUUGUAGAUGUUGGUGCAUUUUACCAUAACUUAGUCAAAAUUAGAGAAGUUUGGCUUGCAGCAAAGUUAA